GCACAAGCGAGGAACAUGUGGUUUAAUUCGAUGAUACGCGAGGAACCUUACCUGGGCUUAAAUGUAGAGUGCAUUUUCUAGAGAUAGGAAUUCCCUUCGGGGCUUUCUGCAAGGUGCUGCAUGGUUGUCGUCAGCUCGUGCCGUGAGGUGUCGGGUUAAGUCCCAUAACGAGCGCAACCCUUAUCGUUAGUUGCCAUCUGGUAAAGCAGGGGACUCUAGCGAAACUGCCACCGUAAGGUGAGAGGAAGGUGGGAUGACGUCAAAUCAGCACGGCCCUUAUGUCCAGGGCUACACACGUGUUACAAUGGCCGGUACAGAGGGCAGCUACCUGGUGACAGGAUGCUAAUCUCGAAAACCGGUCUCAGUUCGGAUCGAAGUCUGCAACUCGACUUCGUGAAGCUGGAUUCGCUAGUAAUCGCGCAUCAGCCAUGGCGCGGUGAAUACGUUCCCGGGCCUU
rnacentral:rRNA from 1 species